rnacentral:misc_RNA from 1 species
UACUCAAUAUGACACAGAUUUUUCUCAGCUUGGGUAUGCAACUGAAGGUUAUGCUCAGCCUAUGCAUAUUAACGUCGAGAAUGAUGAGAUAAUUGCCCAUGCUCUUCAGGAGGAACUAUCACGGCUUUCACUCGACGAAUCCAUAGGAUCUUCACACACUGAUGAAGAACAACAUCGAAAAGCAUCAGUUCUUGCUCAGGAUUGGGCUGCACCCUCUACAACGUUUUCCAAUUUCGCAGUCGAUGGCAUUCAGGAAGACGCAGAUAGUACUGGAUUUUGCCCUCUUACAGGUACAUCAUCCAAUUGGGAGUCACCAGAGAUAGAGGAUGAAUCUCUUCUUGAUGGUGAAGUUGGCAAGCGUUUGAAUCAGUUGGAUGCCAUCCCUCAUGUUCCCAAAAUUAAUGGAGAUAUACCCUCAGUAGAUGAAGCCAAAUCCGAUCAUCAAAGGCUGAUGGACAGGUUGGAAGUAUAUGAUCUAGUUGAGUUAAAAGUUUCUGGAGAUGGCAAUUGUCAGUUCCGCUCACUGUCGGACCAAAUAUAUCGCAGUACUGAGCAUCACAAAUUUGUGAGGGAACAAGUUGUUAAACAGCUCAAGUCCCAUAGGGAGUUGUAUGAGGGUUAUGUUCCAAUGGUCUAUGAUGAAUACUUGAAGAAAAUGAGCAAGGCUGGCGAAUGGGGUGAUCAUGUAACUUUGCAGGCUGCUGCAGAUUCAUAUGGUGUUAAGAUGUUUGUCAUUACAUCAUUUAAGGACACCUGCUACAUUGAGAUUCUUCCACAAAGUCUGAAGUCAAACAGAAUCAUUAUUUUGAGCUUUUGGGCUGAAGUGCACUACAAUUCAAUCUAUCCACAAGGAGAGUAUCCUGCUGGAGAAACAAAAACAAGAAAAAAAUGGUGGCAGCUUGGUUGAGAAACCUGGACAGCCAGCUUUCUUUAGGAACAGUGCACACCUAAUAAUCACAAGAAUUAGGAGCUCUGUGACAACAAUUUAACUCCAGAUUGUACAUAUUUUAUUCACUUCUCUGAGGU